rnacentral:rRNA from 1 species
UACCAGCACCCCGAGUGGUCGGGACGUUUAUUGGGCCUAAAGCAUCCGUAGCCGGUUCUGCAAGUCUUCCGUUAAAUCCACCUGCUUAACAGAUGAGCCGCGGAAGAUACUAUAGAGCUAGGAGGCGGGAGAGGCAAGCGGUACUCGAUGGGUAGGGGUAAAAUCCGUUGAUCCAUUGAAGACCACCAGUGGCGAAGGCGGCUUGCCAGAACGCGCUCGACGGUGAGGGAUGAAAGCUGGGGGAGCAAACCGG